rnacentral:rRNA from 1 species
GACGAACGCUGGCGGCGUGCCUAAUACAUGCAAGUUGAGCGCUGAAGGUUGGUACUUGUACCAACUGGAUGAGCAGCGAACGGGUGAGUAACGCGUGGGGAAUCUGCCUUUGAGCGGGGGACAACAUUUGGAAACGAAUGCUAAUACCGCAUAAAAACUUUAAACACAAGUUUUAAGUUUGAAAGAUGCAAUUGCAUCACUCAAAGAUGAUCCCGCGUUGUAUUAGCUAGUUGGUGAGGUAAAGGCUCACCAAGGCGAUGAUACAUAGCCGACCUGAGAGGGUGAUCGGCCACAUUGGGACUGAGACACGGCCCAAACUACUACGGGAGGCAGCAGUAGGGAAUCUUCGGCGAUGGACGAAAGUCUGACCGAGCAACGCCGCGUGAGUGAAGAAGGUUUUCGGAUCGUAAAACUCUGUUGGUAGAGAAGAACGUUGGUGAGAGUGGAAAGCUCAUCAAGUGACGGUAACUACCCAGAAAGGGACGGCUAACUACGUG